UUUUUUUUUUUUCCCCACUAACAUAAUAUUUAAUGCACAUUCAGCUAGUGCAGCUGUUCUUUCAUCAACUGAAGUAACAAAAAUGGUCAGGGAGUGUAUAAAAAAGAAAGUCAUAUCAGUGAAAAGUUUGCAUCCCCCUUCAUGUAAUGUUCUUUAUUACUUUGUAUGUCUUCCCUAACCUCUUCCAACCUCUUUGAGCAGCAUUUGUAUCAUUUCAGCUGUAAUUUUAGCCCAUUCUCCAUGGUACUAGCUUCAUGGGGCAAAUUAUUCCAAUUCAGAAAGUGCUUUACUUUUCUCCCUAAACGUAUGCUUUUUGCUUUGCCGUCCUCUUCUCUUUCAAGGACUAUGCUCUGACCACAGCCAUUUUCCUUAGUCUCUACUUUGCCUAAGAAAACACAACACAGUUUCCAUAGAACAUGCAUUAAAUGGGAAAGAAAAUAUACAGUAUAGACUUACUGAAGAAAGUGAAAAAAGUCUUGUAAAGACAACAGGAUCUAAAGAUUUCCUGCACUCCUCACACAUACAGUCUGACAAACACAUGUUCAGUGGCUUCAGUGCAGACUUUUCUUGUAAAGGCAUCUAGUAGAAGUCUAUAUGUGCAGUGGGUACUAAUAAUGUCUUGACAACAGCGUUAAAUACAGUGCAUGGUUAUAACAAAUGAAACAUCACUCUAAUUGCUUGACUUUGUGGUGGAUUGUGUUUUUAAUACUAAAGUUUUGGAGCAGCUUGUAAUUAGAGUGAAGCAGAAUGAUUAAAAGUGAUCAUAAUUUGAACUCUCCCAAUAGUAAAAUUGAUCAUGUCAGAUGUUGAAGCCACAAAGGCUAAACCCCCUUUUUUUCAGCCUGAAGCCAGUAUUUUAAAGUCAACCAAAAAGUCAGUUUGCCUUGGCAAACGGCCAAAGGUGUCCUCAGGUGUCCUCAGGUGCAAAGUUACCUGACAACCAACUUUGAAAAGUUUCAUCUUGGCUAUUUGAUUUUUUUAUUUGCUCUAUAACUAUCUGUUCUAAAUAGUCAAAUGUAGCAAGCGAGCAAGUUGCAACUUGCAACUCUUAGUGUGCAUGUGAUGCAAUGAAGACAAAAUGAUCCGCCUACAGUGUAUUCAGUCUAUUGUUGUAGAUUUUGUAUUGAAAUCUAUAUUUAAUGGUAACAUUACCUACUCAGUACUAUUACAUAUAUUUUAGGUCUGAGCCUGAAAAUGAGCCUGUACUCAGCUCAGACACCCUCAGGUUGUUGGCCUAGGGCCAGGCUGCAGACCCUGAUUAAAUCAUACUGUGGUAUUAUAUUAUUAUGUUAUUAACAUCUCUGUCUUAAAACAGUCGGUGUCAUGCUCCUCAAAAUGUUUUGAGGUAUGAACGCAUCCAGACAUGUUAAAAGAGCCACUAUGUUCUUUGAAAAGUACUUCUCAAAAAGAUAUGCAUCAUUCAUGAUCACUCAUCAUUAUUAUGUUAGAAGUGAUUAGAACAUGCCUAACCCUCUUAGGGAUUAUUAGAUUGAAUUCAGGCCAGGAAAUGUACCACACACAACCACAGCAUUGCCAGAAUCCAUCAGUUUGGCAUCACUUGUCUCCCUUUUUUCUAUACUUUGAUUACACUCUGCAUAAAUAUGGAAUAUAGUUUCACAUAUUGUGUGUCACUUUUGUUUUGUUUUUUUAUAUCAGUGGGCCCCUGUCAGGCAAAAAAGUCUCCCAUUUUUGCCAAGGUAUGCCCUCCUCCCCUCUCUCAUGGGAAGCAAAGCUCUAUACUCGCUUGUAAAUAGUGAGAUAAGUGUGGUUUACCCGUAGCUGGGGUGUGAGGUGCGCUCACCACCGCCCUGACAUGUCUCUGCCAAAGCCCAAUAGGGGUGUAAUUACCUGAGACUGGGUCAGCACUUUAUCCUGAGUAAAAAUACCUGCCUACUUAUAGAAGGGGAAUAGAGAAGGCAGAUCCAUGCAGCCUGUCUUCACACACCCAGCUAACUGCUUCUCUAAAUUCCUCCUCUAGUAGCUUCUCCUUUAUUCGUUUAGAAGAGUCAUAUAGCAUUACAUAACAAUUAAUGCUUAAUGUGAGUUGUUGUUAACGGGGACUCCCAAACAAAACCUUUCCAUCUUCUUUGGGCUGACCUACAAAACACUUGCCAUGGGUUCACUUUACCACUCUCUACCUCUAACUGCAGCCGACUUUCAGUCCAGUAUCUUUCCACAUUCACUGUAUUCCCCUACUCCACCCCAUUCACACCACAUCUGUCUCUCUGCCCUCUGAGUCAAGGACAGCGAGGGCUGAGCAGACAUCCAGAGGACAGCUCUACACCAAUCAGGAGACAGAGGGAGCCUGUGUCAAUUAAAUGUGCCUCUUGCCUCCAAACCACUCACAGAUGUUGGCAGCGGGGAGCGCUGUGGCAAAUCCAAAUGAGGAAAUCUAAAUAGAGAUCAGACUGUAAAAUAAAAAAGAAGGCCCAGAGAAAUAGAAAACUUGGAGAAAGCAAGAGAGCAAUGUCAGAACGUGGCGGCCAGACAUGGAUCAAUCUCUCCCCAGAAUUGGGUUUCACAUACCGGAAGCAGAGAUGUACACAUGGGUCACUUCAUCGACUCACUGCGGCCAUGGCCAUAGGUAUCCAUCAUACAGACCAUUGACUGGUUGUGACCAUGAAAUUACAAAUUCAUCACAAAGAGAGGCGGCUGUGGACGAGGUCAGCGGAAAGCAGCAACUGCUUCUCGUCUGCAACCGGGUGGAAAUGGAGCCGUCUGAGAUACUAUAGCUUAUUUGAUUUAAUUACAGCAUAAUGCCAAUAUGGAGUUACAAAGAUUUUCAUUGGAACUCCAUAUUGUUGUGUAAAAUAACAAUUUCUUCCAAUUCCUAUAU